UACUAUCAUGUCAUCAUAGUGAUGUUUUCAUAGUGAUGACAUCAUAGUGAUGUCAUCACUUUGAUGUCAUCGCAGUGAUGACAUCACAGCCCUG